GUCGUCAGCUCGUGUCGUGAGAUGUUGGGUUAAGUCCCGCAACGAGCGCAACCCACGUUUUUAGUUGCCAGCAUUCAGUUGGGCACUCUAAAGAGACUGCCGGUGACAAACCGGAGGAAGGUGUGGACGACGUCAAGUCAUCAUGCCCCUUACGCCUUGGGCUACACACGUACUACAAUGCUGCGGACAAAGAGUAGCGAUCUUGCGAAAGUUAGCUAAUCUCGUAAACCGUGGCUCAGUUCAGAUCGUAGGCUGCAACUCGCCUACGUGAAGGAGGAAUCGCUAGUAAUCGCAGGUCAGCAUACUGCGGUGAAUACGUUCCCGGGCCUUGUACACACCGCCCGUCACACCAUGGAAGUUGGCCAUGCCCGAAGUCGUUACUCUAACCUUUUGGAAGAGGGCGCCGAAGGCAGGGCUAAUGACUGGGGUGAAGUCGUAACAAGGUAGCCGUAGCGGAAGCUGCGGCUGGAUCACCUCCUAA
rnacentral:rRNA from 1 species